GUAGGACAUAGCUCAGUUGGUAGAGCAUGAGCCUCUUAAUCUCAGGGUCGUGGGUUUGAGGCCCAGAUUCCUGCA